GCAUCUAUGUUAGCAACAAGCUUUGCGCCACAGUGGCAUAAAUGUUAGCUUGUUGCUACCUUUGUACUAAAAUAAUUUUAACUCCAUCAGAUUCGCCACCAGGUAACUUAAACC